GAUGAACGCUGGCGGCGUGCCUAAUACAUGCAAGUCGAGCGAACACACGAGGUGCUUCCUCCUCUGACGUUAGCGGCGGACGGGUGAGUAACACGUAGCUAACCUACCUAUGAGACUGGGAUAACUUCGGCAGACUGAAACUAAUACCGGAUAAGAGAUUGAACCGCGUGGUUCAAUAGUUACAGCGGGUUUGGAUGGCACUUUUAGAUGGCACCGGGACGCAUUAGCUAGUUGGUAAGGUAACGGCUUACCAAGGCAACGAUGCGUAGCCGACCUGAGAGGGUGAUCGGCCACACUGGAACUGAGACACGGUCCAGACUCCUACGGGAGGCAGCAGUGGGGAAUUUUCGGCAAUGGGCGAAAGCCUGACGGAGCAACGCCGCGUGAGUGAUGAAGGUCUUCGGAUCGUAAAACUCUGUUAUCAGGAACGAACAAAUGUGUACGAAACCAGCCAAGUCUUGACGGUACCUACUCAAAAAGCACCGGCUAACUACGUG
rnacentral:rRNA from 1 species